rnacentral:lncRNA from 1 species
UCCGGCUUGUCAACUAGUUCCCAAAUUCUGUUUUUCUCGAUCGUUUCUGUCUCCUCACUCAUAGCCUAUCUCAAUUAUUUAUUAUCACAAGCUUCAUCAUAGGUUCGUGGUUCUUCAUGUGCAAGGAGACAAACUUCUAUGACUUGAGCUGCUUCUUCAACCUCCCUACUUUCUGCAUUUUGCAAGAUUUCUUUCAUAGACUUGUAUCUCUUU